ACUCCUGCGGGAGGCAGCAGUGGGGAAUUUUGGACAAUGGGCGAAAGCCUGAUCCAGCCAUGCCGCGUGCAGGAUGAAGGCCUUCGGGUUGUAAACUGCUUUUGUACGGAACGAAACGGCCUUUUCUAAUAAAGAGGGCUAAUGACGGUACCGUAAGAAUAAGCACCGGCUAACUACGUGCCAGCAGCCGCGGUAAUACGUAGGGUGCAAGCGUUAAUCGGAAUUACUGGGCGUAAAGCGUGCGCAGGCGGUUAUGUAAGACAGUUGUGAAAUCCCCGGGCUCAACCUGGGAACUGCAUCUGUGACUGCAUAGCUAGAGUACGGUAGAGGGGGAUGGAAUUCCGCGUGUAGCAGUGAAAUGCGUAGAUAUGCGGAGGAACACCGAUGGCGAAGGCAAUCCCCUGGACCUGUACUGACGCUCAUGCACGAAAGCGUGGGGAGCAAACAGGAUUAGAAACCCGUGUAGUCCC
rnacentral:rRNA from 1 species